rnacentral:rRNA from 1 species
GAUCCUGCUCAGGACGAACGCUGGCGGCGCGCCUAACACAUGCAAGUCGAACGAGCGAGAGAGAGCUUGCUUUCUCGAGCGAGUGGCGAACGGGUGAGUAACACGUGAGGAACCUGCCUCAAAGAGGGGGACAACAGUUGGAAACGACUGCUAAUACCGCAUAAGCCCACAGGUCGGCAUCGACCAGAGGGAAAAGGAGCAAUCCGCUUCGAGAUGGCCUCGCGUCCGAUUAG